rnacentral:rRNA from 1 species
UACGUAGGGGGCGAGCGUUGUCCGGAUUUAUUGGGCGUAAAGAGCGUGUAGGCGGCCAGGUAGGUCUGCUGUGAAAACUCGAGGCUCAACCUCGAGACGUCGGCGGAAACCAUCUGGCUAGAGUCCGGAAGAGGAGAGUGGAAUUCCGCGUGUAGUGGUGAAAUGCGUAGAGAUGCGGAGGAACACCAGUGGCGAAAGCGGCUUUCUGGUCCUUAACUGACGCUGAGGCGCGAAAGCAUGGGGAGCGAACGGG